AAGGUAGCAUAAUCACUUGCCUUCUAAUUUAAGGCUAGAAUGANCGGACAAACGAGGAUUAAACUGUCUCAUUAAGAUUUUUAUAAAUUAGUACUCAGGUGAAGAAACCUGAAUUUUAUUAAAAGACAAGAAGACCCUGUAGAACUUUAUUUUAAAAUAUAUUUCGAAAUAGUUUAUUUGCUACCCUGCAAAUUACUACAAACACAAUAUAUUAUAAAUUCGGUUGGGGCGACCAAGGAACAUAUCUAACUUCCUUAAUUAAAAAGGAUUUCUCCUAUUAAAGAUCCAAUAAUUUGAUCAUAAGAAUAAGCUACCUCAGGGAUAACAGACUAAUCUUUCUCAAGAGCCCAUAUUGACAGAAAGGAUUGGCACCUCGAUGUUGGCUUGGGGUAACCAUUUAGUGUAGCCGCUUUAUUAGGUUGGUUUGUUCAACCAUUAAAUCCCCACGUGAUCUGAGUUUCAGACCGG
rnacentral:rRNA from 1 species